rnacentral:rRNA from 1 species
UACGAAGGGUGCAAGCGUUACUCGGAAUUACUGGGCGUAAAGCGUGCGUAGGUGGUUCGUUAAGUCUGAUGUGAAAGCCCUGGGCUCAACCUGGGAAUGGCAUUGGAUACUGGCGACCUAGAGUGCGGUAGAGGGUGGCGGAAUUCCCGGUGUAGCAGUGAAUGCGUAGAGUAUCCGGAAGAACACCGGUGGCGAAGGCGGCC